UACGAGGGGGGCAAGCGUUGUUCGGAAUUAUUGGGCGUAAAGGGCGCGUAGGCGGCGCGGUAUGUCUCUUGUGAAAUCUCCAGGCUCAACUUGGAGUCUGCAAGGGAAACUGCCGUGCUUGAGUACUGGAGAGGUGAGUGGAAUUCCAGGUGUAGCGGUGAAAUGCGUAGAUAUCUGGAGGAACACCGGUGGCGAAGGCGGCAUCCUGGACCAAUUCUGACGCUGAGGAGCGAAAGCCAGGGGAGCAAACGGG
rnacentral:rRNA from 1 species